rnacentral:rRNA from 1 species
GACGUAGGGCGCGAGCGUUGUCCGGAUUUAUUGGGCGUAAAGAGCUCGUAGGCGGCUUGUCGCGUCGUCCGUGAAAACCUGGGGCUCAACCCCAGGCUUGCGGUCGAUACGGGCAGGCUAGAGUUCGGUAGGGGAGACUGGAAUUCCUGGUGUAGCGGUGAAAUGCGCAGAUAUCAGGAGGAACACCGGUGGCGAAGGCGGGUCUCUGGGCCUAUACUGACGCUGAGGAGCGAAAGCGUGGGGAGCGAACAGG